ensembl:lncRNA
UAUUACUUUGUUAUAUAUUACUGUAAUUGGAAAUAUGAAUGUAUGGCUCUUUACAACGCAAUUCAUAAUAUUUUUCACAAUUGUUAUAACAAUGUGAAUUUUUACAAUAUAUCAAAUAAUAUAGAUGCACAAAAUGCACAACAAUCAGGUGACCAAGAGUUACUAAAAAAAAAAGAAACAAAACAAGAUGAAUUAAUAUCAAAGUCAGAUAUUGAAAAAAUAAAAGAAAUGUACAUUAAAGAUAUGCAAAAUAAUGACAUAACAGAUAUCGAUUCUUUACUUAAUCAAGAAGAGAAUAUUCUAAGUGGUGAUCAAACAAACCAAACGGCACCACUUGAACUAAACGAACACAAUAAAAUUGAUACAAAUGCACAAAAAAAAAACAAUAUAACUAACCAACCAAAUGACAAAGAAUUAAAUGGAAAAGAAUUAAAUAACAAAGCGGAAAAUACAGAUAAUAAAAAAAAAAGCUUUCAAGAGAUAAUAGAAGAAGAAAAAAAAAAACUAGAUGAAGAAUUUUUUUUAUAUGGCUACUCAAAAUAUGAAAAUGUAGAAGAAAUUAAAAAAGAAGAAGAUAUGAUAAAAGAAACUAAAAAAAUAAUAAAUGAAGAAAAAAUUAAGAAAAACAGUUUAAAUAAGGAAAAAGAUUUUAAAAACAUUUUAAAUGAUUUCCCAUUAAUAAUAAAACAUUACAAAGAUUUCUAUAAAUGUGAUCAUAUCGACUAUGAUGAAAAUAAAACAAAUUUAUUAAAAAACUCGGGUGUAGAUGUAACAACCAAUGAUAUGGGAAAAAAUCACAAAAACGAUCUAGCUGAGUUCAAUGAUAAUAAUAAUUCUACCUUAUUUCAAACUGUGGAAGAAAUAAAAAAAAAAAACGAGAAAAAAGAAGUAAAUAUAAAUGUCAUUUUUGUUAGAUUAAGUAAUAGUACUGUAAUAGGAAAAACAAAAAACAUUAAGAAAAAAAUAAAAAAAAAAUGGAUUUAUUCACAUGAAAAAGAAAUUAAAUUUUAUGAGCUAAUUUUAUCAGUUAUGCUUAAUGAAAAUAUUUAUUAUAAAGAUAUACCACACAUGGAUAUUUUCUCAGUCACUUAUGAUAAAAAAAAUAUAUAUGAUUUUUUUAAUCAAAUUAACACAAAUUUAAAACAUAGUUUUAUUCAUAAAAAUAAUGUAUAUGAUAUAUUUAAUAACUAUGUUAAUGAUGAAAUGGAUGCAUACAAUUUCGACAUAUAUGACAAAACUGAUAAUACAAAUAAAGAUAGUGGAUUAACAAUUUAUCAUAGCAAAGUUGAUAAUGUUGCAACAAACAGUCAGAUACAUGAAAGAAGUAGUAAAACGCAAAAACAAAGCAAUAACAAAAAUUUAGAAAGUGCAGAUGUCGUUUUGGAAGAAUUAAGUUUAGAUCACGAAAUAGAAGAUAUAGAAAAUUAUCAAACAAUACAUGAUGGAACUAUAGAAAAUUCAGAUAUAAAUGAUGGUGCCAGUGAUGAAAACACAACUUAUGGAAACACAAACAAUGAUGACAUAAAUACUACUAACAUAACACACAACAAUAAAUUAAAAGUUAAAAAAAAAAAGAAAAAUAUAAAAACCAAAGCUACUAAAAAAAAACAUAAUAAAAAACCAAAAAGUAAUUAUGAAGUAUUAUUUAAACAAAAAUACACAAAUAUAUUACUUAAUAAUGUGAAAAAAAAUAUAUUGAUUAACAAAAUAACUUCUAUAUCAAACGUUCAUGAUUAUGCAAAUUACACUAUUGAUAAUUUUAAAGAUUUGCCAUUAAGCCAUAUUUUAAAAAAAAAAUUAAAUCAUGAGCAUUUUAAAAUUGACCAAAAUUAUAUUUACUAUUUACAUUAUAAAAUACCAAUAGAUAUUUUCCCAUUCAUUUUUCAGUUAUCAUUAGCUUAUAAAUAUGAGCACACAACUCUUUUAAUA